GGCUUUUUUUAGCAAUUGAAACUUCUAAUUUUAACCUCUACACUUGUGAAGCCCAUUUCCAGUGGUCAUCCUACAAUGAGCCUGAAAAGCAACCGCACAUAUCAUGACUCCAAGAUGAUAUAUCCUGACCUGGACGUUGCAUAAGAAAAAGUAAAUGUAGCCACCUUUUUUUCUUAGCUUAUGAGAGAAGAUAGUUAUCGUAGUAGCAUUCAGGUUUCAUCAGUGUGGAGUCAAAAAAAGUAGUCACAAGCACAUGACGACCCUACAUCAUAUUUCCACCAUUUUCUAAAGCAUAUUGUGCAGACGAAGAGGAUGAGUAGAAACUUGUGGUUCUCAUCCAAUCUUCAUGGAACUCUCUUUAUGUGCGAUUGUGCACUUGUUGGGUCCUUUUUUCGUGCGUUUGCACUUGUAGAAGUAUUUUGUUGUGUAUAUGUAAAAUUAUUUUGAUGUGCCCUUGUUAGACGUUGAAACUUAAUGCAUGGAGUUGGUGGAUGAUGUAAUGUAUUUGAUGUGAUAUGCUACUGAAAUGAAAUAUACAUUUUAUUUGCAAUCUUUUA